UUCUUCCCCUCAAAAAAAAAGCUGUUCUGAGUCUUCUACAGGAGUGUUAACUGCAUUACAGGAGUGAGUCAGUGCUUUAAAAUGAAUAAACACAGUAACAGCAAAAAGAGUCUCUGGCAUGCCACCACUGUGAUAUGCUCAACUUGAGAGCCAGCGGUAAGUUGUUGGCUCUCCUGAUUAGGAGCUGGCAGUGAUCAGACCAUUUACUGGACCUUAAGACCUCGUGGAGUGGUUUAUUCCUAUGCAGCCAUCUCUGAAAGGUACCAAGAGUACCUGAAAGCAGUUGUUCAUCUAUAACCCGAUAAUUAAACAGCUGUAACG